UUCUUCUUCUUUUUUUUUUUUUUUCAGAAAAAACACAAGACAAAAAAACCAUACGACUUUCUCACCAGCAUGAGGGAAUAUGCAAUACCAAUAAGAGCAGAACAGCCUCCUUGGACCCAUCUCUGGCCUGCAUCCCCCAUCUCCCACACAAGACAAGGUCUGCAGCUUUCUGACAUUGCCGAGUGACGAGCGUAAGAAGUCUCCCUUCCCUGGCCUCCUACUGGCUUCUUCCACUUCACUUCAACCCAGUCCCCCGAGAACGGUGAAGUACAUUGGCAUUUAAUAAUUGCACCAGUAAGCCAGUAUCCACCAAUGCGUGAUUGAGAGCAUGAGCAAGUUGUCAGGAACCCGACAAGCCAGGCAAGAGUGCGCAGCAGGGGCCCUCAGAAGGCUCUGGAAGUCUGCAGCAGUUGCUAGCUGGCAUCAGAAACAGGUGACGUCGUCAUCAGGCCCGUCUGUGCUAGCUGCCACUGUUCAUGCUCUGUGUUUGGAGCACUUGGGGUCAGGUUCUCAAGAAAGGAAAGCAGAUCUGUCCAAAGCUCCCUUCGCCAGAAAAAGUCAACUGGACCCUGGAGGAACUCCAGCCCUAGACAAACCGAGACUGCAGAGCCAGCACAGUGGGGCACAAGGAAGCUCAGUGGGAGAAUAAAAGCAAACUAAAACCCUGUGUGGCAGUUGGACAUCGCAAAGGGUAAGUGAAGAGAGGGAGCAGCUUCAGGACCCCAGGCCUCAUGAAGUCACCACCUAAGUGUAAGAAAUUUAUUUCUGUGGCAUCAGCAUCUAGGACUUGUGAACAAGUGUUCAAUCCAUUCAAUUAGUACUGGCAUCAGAAACUACAGUUCGAGCCAUGUGUCAGCUUUCUCACAGAAUGCUGUGUGGUGGCAUUUGUUCUCUCUGUGGGUUGCACGAAGACAGCUCAAUCCAUGGCCCCACCCUGCUGGCUAACCCUAAAGUCCCCAGUGGAGAUAUGAUGGUGUGUCUUUUUACACAUGCUCUACUGGAAUUGCAAUCCAUGGGAACAAAUGAUAACACAGAAGAAAUCAACACGAAGUAGUGUGUGCCCACUUUUGUGUGCAGGUCUCCUGCAAAGCUGUUCAUAGUGUCUCAUAUCCAAUAUGAAGUCAUACCCAAUUCCCAGAAGUCAGACAGCCAUGAGGUAACCUUUCCCUGCUAUGAACAGGCAAACAAAGAGGUCUCAAGCCCAAGGUUUUGCCCCCUUUCUGCCCACUAGACAUGGUAGUGAUAACAUCAGCUCUUCAUCAUCGGUGACUGGCUGGCAGUAGCCUAACUUCUCUCCCAGAAGUCCCCUGUAUUCUGAGCCCUCACUUCACAUGGUAAAGAGCAGCUGAGGGCCAGGUGAAAUGGCACAAAUGCUAAAGGUACUGCCUUCCAAGCCUGAUGACCUGAAUUUGAUUCCUGGAACCCACACGGUGGAAGGAGAAAGCUGGCUGUCUCAAGUUGUUCUUUGAUCUUCACAUGUGUGGGUAUGAGCAUGCACGCACACACGCGCACACACACACACACUCACACUCAC
rnacentral:lncRNA from 1 species